AUGAACGCUAGCUACAGGCUUAACACAUGCAAGUCGAGGGGCAGCAUGGUCUUAGCUUGCUAAGGCCGAUGGCGACCGGCGCACGGGUGAGUAACACGUAUCCAACCUGCCGUCUACUCUUGGACAGCCUUCUGAAAGGAAGAUUAAUACAAGAUGGCAUCAUGAGUCCACAUGUUCACAUGAUUAAAGGUAUUCCGGUAGACGAUGGGGAUGCGUUCCAUUAGAUAGUAGGCGGGGUAACGGCCCACCUAGUCUUCGAUGGAUAGGGGUUCUGAGAGGAAGGUCCCCCACAUUGGAACUGAGACACGGUCCAAACUCCUACGGGAGGCAGCAGUGAGGAAUAUUGGUCAAUGGGCGAGAGCCUGAACCAGCCAAGUAGCGUGAAGGAUGACUGCCCUAUGGGUUGUAAACUUCUUUUAUAAAGGAAUAAAGUCGGGUAUGGAUACCCGUUUGCAUGUACUUUAUGAAUAAGGAUCGGCUAACUCCGUGCCAGCAGCCGCGGUAAUACGGAGGAUCCGAGCGUUAUCCGGAUUUAUUGGGUUUAAAGGGAGCGUAGAUGGAUGUUUAAGUCAGUUGUGAAAGUUUGCGGCUCAACCGUAAAAUUGCAGUUGAUACUGGAUAUCUUGAGUGCAGUUGAGGCAGGCGGAAUUCGUGGUGUAGCGGUGAAAUGCUUAGAUAUCACGAAGAACUCCGAUUGCGAAGGCAGCCUGCUAAGCUGCAACUGACAUUGAGGCUCGAAAGUGUGGGUAUCAAACAGGAUUAGAUACCCUGGUAGUCCACACGGUAAACGAUGAAUACUCGCUGUUUGCGAUAUACUGCAAGCGGCCAAGCGAAAGCGUUAAGUAUUCCACCUGGGGAGUACGCCGGCAACGGUGAAACUCAAAGGAAUUGACGGGGGCCCGCACAAGCGGAGGAACAUGUGGUUUAAUUCGAUGAUACGCGAGGAACCUUACCCGGGCUUAAAUUGCAGAUGAAUUACGGUGAAAGCCGUAAGCCGCAAGGCAUCUGUGAAGGUGCUGCAUGGUUGUCGUCAGCUCGUGCCGUGAGGUGUCGGCUUAAGUGCCAUAACGAGCGCAACCCUUGUUGUCAGUUACUAACAGGUCAUGCUGAGGACUCUGACAAGACUGCCAUCGUAAGAUGUGAGGAAGGUGGGGAUGACGUCAAAUCAGCACGGCCCUUACGUCCGGGGCUACACACGUGUUACAAUGGGGGGUACAGAGGGCCGCUACCACGCGAGUGAAUGCCAAUCCCAAAAACCUCUCUCAGUUCGGACUGGAGUCUGCAACCCGACUCCACGAAGCUGGAUUCGCUAGUAAUCGCGCAUCAGCUACGGCGCGGUGAAUACGUUCCCGGGCCUUGUACACACCGCCCGUCAAGCCAUGGGAGCCGGGGGUACCUGAAGUGCGUAACCGCGAGGAGCGCCCUAGGGUAAAACUGGUGACUGGGGCU
rnacentral:rRNA from 1 species